rnacentral:rRNA from 1 species
UGCCUUUGGCCGUCCGAGUUGUAGUCUGGAGAAGUGUUUUCUGUGCCGGACCGUGUACAAGUCCCUUGGAACAGGGCUUCAUAGAGGGUGAGAAUCCCGUCUUUGACACGGACUACCGGUGCUCUGUGAUGCGCUCUCAACGAGUCGAGUUGUUUGGGAAUGCAGCUCAAAAUGGGUGGUAAAUUCCAUCUAAAGCUAAAUAUAGGCGAGAGACCGAUAGCGAACAAGUACCGUGAGGGAAAGAUGAAAAGCACUUUGGAAAGAGAGUUAAACAGUACGUGAAAUUGCUGAAAGGGAAACGCUUGAAGUCAGUCAUGUCUGCCAGGACUCAGCCUUGCAGUUUUGCUUGGUGCACUUUCUGGUUGACGGGCCAGCGUCGAUUUUGACCGUUGGAGAAAGGUGGAGGAAAUGUGGCACCUUUCGAGGUGUGUUAUAGUCCUCUGCCGUAUGUGACGGUUGGGAUCGAGGACCGCAGCACGCCUUUAUGGCCGGGGGUCACACCCACGUUACGUGCUUAGGAUGCUGGCUUAAUGGCUUUAAGCGACCCGUCUUGAAACACGGACCAAGGAGUCUAACUUGCCUGCGAGUGUUUGGGUGGAAAACCCAAGCGCGCAAUGAAAGUGAUAGUUGAGACCUCUGUCAUGGAGGGCAUCGACGCCCGGACUUGAUCUACGGAGACGGUUCUGCGGUAGAGCAUGCAUGUUGGGACCCGAAAGAUGGUGAACUAUGCCUGAAUAGGGUGAAGCCAGAGGAAACUCUGGUGGAGGCUCGUAGCGAUUCUGACGUGCAAAUCGAUCGUCAAAUUUGGGUAUAGGGGCGAAAGACUAAUCGAACCCAUUACGUCCG